rnacentral:rRNA from 1 species
AUUGAACGCUGGCGGCAUGCCUUACACAUGCAAGUCGAACGGUAACAGGUCUUCGGAUGCUGACGAGUGGCGAACGGGUGAGUAAUACAUCGGAACGUGCCUAGUAGUGGGGGAUAACUACUCGAAAGAGUGGCUAAUACCGCAUGAGAUCUACGGAUGAAAGCAGGGGAUCGCAAGACCUUGUGCUACUAGAGCGGCCGAUGGCAGAUUAGGUAGUUGGUGGGAUAAAAGCUUACCAAGCCGACGAUCUGUAGCUGGUCUGAGAGGAUGAUCAGCCACACUGGGACUGAGACACGGCCCAGACUCCUACGGGAGGCAGCAGUGGGGAAUUUUGGACAAUGGGCGCAAGCCUGAUCCAGCAAUGCCGCCUGCAGGAUGAAGGCCUUCGGGUUGUAAACUGCUUUUGUACGGAACGAAAAGCCCUGGGUUAAUACCCUGGGGUCAUGACGGUACCGUAAGAAUAAGCACCGGCCAACUACGUGCCAGCAGCCGCCGUAAGAC